CGCGGUAAUUCCAGCUCCAAUAGCGUAUAUUAAAGUUGUUGUGGUUAAAAAGCUCGUAGUUGAACCUUGGGCCUGGCUGGCCGGUCCGCCUCACCGCGUGCACUGGUCCGGCCGGGCCUUUCCCUCUGCGGAACCCCAUGCCCUUCACUGGGUGUGGCGGGGAAACAGGACUUUUACUUUGAAAAAAUUAGAGUGCUCAAGGCAGGCCUAUGCUCGAAUACAUUAGCAUGGAAUAAUAGAAUAGGACGUGUGGUUCUAUUUUGUUGGUUUCUAGGACCGCCGUAAUGAUUAAUAGGGACAGUCGGGGGCAUCAGUAUUCAAUUGUCAGAGGUGAAAUUCUUGGAUUUAUUGAAGACUAACUACUGCGAAAGCAUUUGCCAAGGAUGUUUUCAUUAAUCAGGAACGAAAGUUAGGGGAUCGAAGACGAUCAGAUACCGUCGUAGUCUUAACCAUAAACUAUGCCGACUAGGGAUCGGACGAUGUUACAUUUUUGACGCGUUCGGCACCUUACGAGAAAUCAAAGUGCUUGGGCUCCAGGGGGAGUAUGGUCGCAAGGCUGAAACUUAAAGAAAUUGACGGAAGGGCACCACCAGGGGUGGAGCCUGCGGCUUAAUUUGACUCAACACGGGGAAACUCACCAGGUCCAGACACAAUGAGGAUUGACAGAUUGAGAGCUCUUUCUUGAUUUUGUGGGUGGUGGUGCAUGGCCGUUCUUAGUUGGUGGAGUGAUUUGUCUGCUUAAUUGCGAUAACGAACGAGACCUUAACCUGCUAAAUAGCCCGUAUUGCUUUGGCAGUACGCCGGCUUCUUAGAGGGACUAUCGGCUCAAGCCGAUGGAAGUUUGAGGCAAUAACA
rnacentral:rRNA from 1 species